ensembl:lncRNA
AAAAAACAGCUAUUACAGACUGAUUAGGCUACACUUCUUUAAACUCUUAAAAACAAGCCUACAUUCAUAAUAGGAUAAAGUCCCCACCUUUCUGCCACAAUACCAUAACUACAGUUUAUGUGACUAGUUAAUCGUUAGUGGAUUAAACUGGAUGUUUUCUGCAGUGUUUCUCCUGUUUCACACUUCAGGGAUGUUGAGAAUGUCAGCGCUGUUUCAUCUGGAUUGAAUCAGUAGUUUGUGUCGAAUGGCUCGUGCUGGAUCUCACAGCUGUGUUUAAUCUGUGAUUGCUCUUUCUUCCGGUGCAGAGGAGCGCGUGUGAUUUCGUUCCGCUUUUGGAGUUUGGACGCUUCUCAUGCACAAUAGAAAUAAAUGGCAGCACUUGUGUGGCUCCCGUGCGACCGAUAACAAACUUCAGUCUCACCGGCAGAAAAAAAAAAAAAAAAAUUGCAAAAUAUGAGCGAAUAGUCUGGAUCCCUGCCACUUCAGAGAACCUGUCAGACUUGUUGAGCGUAGCUUUCUUAGCAAAACAAAAGGCAGGACACAGCUACUUUUAAAGCGUUUUCUAAACUAACUGAUCAUCAGCAAAAACGACUUGUCUUUAUGUUCUUAGUUUUGUUUAUACGGGUAACUUGAGUAAAAGAUAUUUAAAGUUAGGCUACAUUUGGUUUUAGGUUGCAUGAUGAAAUUAACCAAGACGAAAACAAACUCGCUCCUCACACUGAUUCUGCUGUUUCACACCAUGUCUGAGCAAGCAGGAGCUUCUCAUGAUGACGAUGAUGACGAGGUGAGGAUCCUGAUGGUGGGAAUCCGAGGUCAGUCCAGAUUCAGUGCUGCAGAUCUUCUGUCAGGAAGGAAAGACGGUGGACAGGAGGACAGAGAGAUUGUAAAGACUCCAGUAAUUACAGACGAGGCUCGUAGAAUGAUGCUGAUCACUGGACCGAACCUCUGUGAGGAGGACACAGAGAGACAGACCUUCACAACAGCGCUGUUUCUCUCGUCUCCUGGACCUCACGCCGUUCUAAUGCUCCUGAAUCUGGAAGAUCAACAAUCACAACAGUGUGAUAUUGUGAAACGAGCUCAGGAGCUGCUGGGAGCAGAAGUCCUGCAGUACUGCAUUGUUCUUCUGCUGCAAAAUCACCAGGAACCUUUCACAGGAGCCUCCAGAGAAAUGAUCGACGCAUGUGGAGGAAGAUUUCUCAUCAUAAGAGACUCUGAACCUAAACCUGCUCAAAGAGCAGCUCUCGUAGCAGAAAUACACAAGUUAGUUUGGCUCAACGAUCACAGAUUUUACUCAGUAGUGACUCAAGNAACAUUUACUGUGCAAUGUCAUUUCCACCAAAUUUCAAAUGAUAUAUUAUGUUUAUCAGCAUUUUAUUACUGGAAUAAAAUGGCUAUUUUCAUAGUUUGAAUUUUAUGUAUGUAAAUACACACAUUCAAAAAUAUAUUUUGAUACUUUAUACAUAAUUUUGCAUAUAUAUAUAUAUCUAAAAAAAUUGUGAAUUCUCCUGUUAAGCAUUUAUAUGCAUUUAAAAAAAAAAAAAAAACUUUUAUAUAAAAAAAACCAAAAAUUUUUAUUAAUAUUCACUGUGUUUAGAUCACAUUUGCUGUAGGUCAAGUAACAAUAGAAACAAUGGAAAAAUCAGAACAGAGUUUUAUUUUACAGUAGGUUUAGGAGAGACCCUUGGAUUAAUUGUUAGCAUACAGACUUUUUCUGAUGUUUUUGUAGCAUGCUGAGCUGCUCUUGGAGUCACAGUUGGAGCUUAUGAAUUUUUUUAAUUUAUCAUUCGAGCACCAAAAACUGAAUGUCCGAGAAUUACUCCUGUUAUUUCUGUUUUGUACAGUGGGUGCUGAACUCACAUUGUUGUUUGUGAUUGUGCUCAGUGCUCUGUUUGGAGUGAAGCUCACAAUAAUUCUGCUAAUAAUCAUGAUAAUAACUGCAGCAUUAAAACUAGUGCUCAAAAUGAAGAAAAACUGUAAUCGAGUUACUCCUUCUUUGAGUGAUUUUUUCAUGUGGUUGUGUGUUUAUUGCUUCAGUUGUUCUGAUUUUAGAGAUGUCGUUGAGUUUGCUUAAAGUUUAUAGAGAACACUUCCUCAGUUCUUUCUUGUUUUAUCCAGUGCUGAUUAUACAGUUCAGAAAACCACUGAAGAGGAUCAAGCAAAGCAGAACAUCACAAGUGAGCAGUUUCUCUUGUCUCCUGGACUUCAUACUGUUUUAAUGGUCCUGAAUCAAGAAUCAAAAAUGUGUGAUAUUGUCACUUUAUUGCUGUUCCAAUAAAGUUUACUUUUGUGGUUACAUACUACAAUUCAUAAAAUUUAUUAAAUCAACCUAAAUCAAUAAAUUCUACAUAACAGUUCUGUACAAGUUUGAUUUUACAUCUUAAUUACA